AUCACCUCUCUUGGUGUUUUCUGGUGAGCUCAGCUGAAGGGUAUACAAGAAUCUGAUCAGCACUGAAAGAUGAAUGCAGAUUCCAACAUGCCUCUUUCAAAAUGCAAAUAGAUUGUGAUUUGCUACAAGCAAAUGAGGAGGAGAGGAAGACAAGAAGAGUGGGCUUUACCUGACGUGAUGUUUGCUGCUUUCGCUUUUUUGUCAGUGACGUACUUACAUCUCACUGAAACAUAACAUGUGGAAGUAGCUUUGAUCCUUUUCUUUCUAAUGAUCUGUUCAGUCAGCAACCUUGUCAUGAAAAUGUGUCACUACUGUCUUGUUAAUGCUCACCUUAUGAAAGCAAUAUUCUUUGAAUGGAAACAUCAAAGAUGUUCCUUAAUCUACCACAAGGAAAAGUCUCUAUUUUAUGGCCAACACUAAGUACAUAGAGAAAUUGUAAUACUGCACGUCACUGAAAAAAUGCUCUUUGUUAUAGCAUUGCAUAGCUAAAGUCAGCACAAUGUCAUUGCAUUAGUCAUUACCUGGAUAGCCUCAAAGAUACCAUAAAUAAAUAAAAAGUAAUUGUAUCAAUAUUUGCUUGAAUAAGUAAAUGAUGCCUUCUUAUCUAACUAAAGUCAGACUGAUACAUUAA